CAAGAAGGGUGCCUGUUCUGCCGGUGUCUUUAGGAUGUGUGGGCAUCUUAUUGGAGACUCCAAAGUCGUCUUGGGUCAGCUGUAGCUUUCUUGACGAAGCAGGGAGUCUCUGGGAUGAAAAGUUUAGUCAACCAUUCCAUCAACGAUAACACAGGAAACCCGAUUCCAUGUCUCCCUCAGGGAAUCCUUAAAUGCCGCUGGUCUUCAUCCUCUCUCUAGCCUACUUCCCCUUGCCUCUCUGCUUACUUGAAGAGUCCACAAGAUAGGGCUAGGCUAUGCCAGCUAAGCAGCACCAGCAGAGUAUUCCACCAUGUGCCUCAGCCCCUGGAGAUCCCAUGCUGGGACAGGAAAUGGGACAAAUUCUCCAAGUGAGCGACAAGAGAAAAUGGUGCCGUACGCAGUUUAAAAGCAGCACCUUCGUCAGUUAACCAGUGCUUCUGAUGAAGGGUGAUGAUAUGA